rnacentral:rRNA from 1 species
GAUGAACGCUGGCGGCGUGCCUAAUACAUGCAAGUCGAGCGAACGGACGAGAAGCUUGCUUCUCUGAUGUUAGCGGCGGACGGGUGAGUAACACGUGGAUAACCUACCUAUAAGACUGGGAUAACUUCGGGAAACCGGAGCUAAUACCGGAUAAUAUUUUGAACCGCAUGGUUCAAACGUGAAAGACGGUCUUGCUGUCACUUAUAGAUGGAUCCGCGCUGCAUUAGCUAGUUGGUAAGGUAACGGCUUACCAACGCAACGAUGCAUAGCCGGCAUGAGAGGGUGAACGGCCACACUGGAACUGAGACACGGUCCAGACUCCUACGGGAGGCAGCAGUAGGGAAUCUUCCGCAAUGGGCGAAAGCCUGACGGAGCAACGCCGCGUGAGUGAUGAAGGUCUUCGGAUCGUAAAACUCUGUUAUUAGGGAAGAACAUAUGUGUAAGUAACUGUGCACAUCUUGACGGUACCUAAUCAGAAAGCCACGGCUAACUACGUG